rnacentral:rRNA from 1 species
AGUGAACGCUGGCGGUAGGCCUAACACAUGCAAGUCGAACGGCAGCACAGGAGAGCUUGCUCUCUGGGUGGCGAGUGGCGGACGGGUGAGGAAUACAUCGGAAUCUACCUUGUCGUGGGGGAUAACGUAGGGAAACUUACGCUAAUACCGCAUACGACCUUCGGGUGAAAGUGGGGGACCGCAAGGCCUCACGCGAUUAGAUGAGCCGGUGUCGGAUUAGCUAGUUGGCGGGGUAAAAGCCCACCAAGGCGACGAUCCGUAGCUGGUCUGGGAGGAUGGUCAGCCAAACUGGAACGGGGACACGGUCCAGACUCCUACGGGAGGCAGCAGUGGGGAAUAUUGGACAAUGGGCGCAAGCCUGAUCCAGCCAUACCGCGUGGGUGAAGAAGGCCUUCGGGUUGUAAAGCCCUUUUGUUGGGAAAGAAAUCUUGCCGGUUAAUACCUGGCGAGGACGACGGUACCCAAAGAAUAAGCACCGGCUAACUUCGUGCCAGCAGCCGCAGUAAUAC